CUCAACUGGUAGGCCUAUAACAUUUCACCAACAAUAACAAGGCUGCAGGUUUAAUUUACAGGGAUAAUAAAUACCUAUCUAUCUAUCUAUAUAUCUAUCUAUGGUUCGAAAAGGUAGAAAUAUAACAUAAUUUUAUAUGAGCCUUUAUUAUUUAACUGAGUGUUUUUUGUUGUUGUUUUCCAACGGUACUGUAACUGAUCAAAUCUUAGGUCAAAUACUUAGUGAAGCCGUAAAUGCGAAUACAGUAGGAAGACACUAGAUGCCGCUCUGUUCUUGUAGAUACAACGACAGGCGAGCGAAGAAGUCUUGGGGUCCUGUUUCGUGUGUUUCUGGGAUACUGGCGGACUGACUGUGCCCUGAAUGUCAUGGCGACCAACAGCGGGCAACUUUCCCGAGGAUUCGUAACUUAUACAAAUCAAGAAAUCCACAACACUGACUGAAAACACAGGGUCAACACAUUUUGUCCAAUUUACAGAGCAAAGACUACAGAAAUCAUCACCAAAACCAAAAAUUGGGAUUCAGUUUUUGAAAUGGAGUGUGCAGUAAACACUGGGCCUGAUGAUGAGCCAUCUGAUACUGCUGUUCCAUAUGAGGUCAUUACUGUAACGGAUGGAAGUGAGACCCCAAAAAAGAAAAACAAGAAACAUAAGAAACACAAAAGUAAAAAGAAACGUAAGAAGCGUAAAGGUGAAAAGGAGAGUAGCUCUGAAUCUGGAGUAGACUCAGAUGGCAAUUCCCAAACAAGAACAAGUGUGAAAAAAGAUGGCUCAUCUAACCCUGAGGCUGAUGAUAAUGCGAAUGCAACAAAAAACUGUACAGAAGACCUCAGUGAUGUGGAAGCUGAUGCCAAGGUUAAAAAGCAGAAACAUCGUGUUGGGAAAAAGAAGAAAAAAAGAAGACGGAAAGAGGAGGAAAAGCAGGGAAAAAAGUCCUCAUCUCGCUCAAGAUCGGCGAGUACCUCAGUGUCAGGGUCAGAAUCUGAACCAGACUCCAAACAAUCACAAAAAUUGCAGGUAGCAUCUUUAAAGGUGGACAGAAAGUCACCUAUCAAUGCAGCUAAAAUUCCAAAAGACAAAUUAAAAGAGAGCACACCUCAGUUGGAAGAUAAAAAGAGAGAAAUUACUUCUGAUCACGCUGAAGAAGAAGAAAGUUUAAAAUUAGGAGGGAUAAGACAGAUGUCUCCUGAGACUGCACAUGCAAUAAUCGCAGAGAAGGACAUAAAGGUGGAAAUUGUAGGCGAACAUGAAAAUUUUGGUAAAGCUCAAGAACUUCCUGAUAUUAUCCCUAAGCAAGAGAAUGUCCACAAAGAGCAAGCUGUGCAGAAGGACAUUUCAAAGGAAUCAAAUGGGAAUCAGAAAGAAAAGAAAAAACAGUCCCUCUCCAGGUCAAGGUCACGAUCGGUUUCAGACACUAAAGGGAAAAAAUCCAAACACAGUUGCUCUAAAACUCCAAAGAAGUCAUCUGGUAAAUCAGGACGUCAUAAUGACAGAUCAUCUUCAAGGGAUAGGUCUGUGUCUGCCUCUGGUGGGAAGGAUAGAACAAAACGAAGAAGUUCUAGGUCUCCAUCAAGACGGUCACCAUCCAAAAUAACAAAGAAAACUGGACGGAGGUCAAGGUCAAUCUCUGGAAGAAGAGCAUAUUGCUCUGACUCAAGGUCCCAUACCAGGACCAAAAGAUCCAGGACCAGGUCUCCACGACGUGGUCAUCGUUCAAGAUCUAGGUCAACUGGAAGACCAAGACGUUCACGGUCAAGAUCAAAACAGUCUAUUUCUCGGCGGAAAAAUCGGCGCUCAAGAUCACAGACCAGAUCUGUAAGGAGAGGAAGACACUCAAGGUCCCGCUCUAGAAAGAAAACACCUCCUCGAGUGAGGCGGUCCAGGUCUAGAUCCGACAGAAGAGCAAGACGAACACGCUCAAGAUCCAUUGUGAUCCUUAAGCGUUCUAGAUCCCGCUUGAGAAGAAACAGAAGAUCUAGAUCAAGAUCUGCUCGCAGAAGAUCAGGUUAAAGAAGCCCAAGACGUCAAAGUAAGUCUCGGUCCCCUCAACGCCCCAGGCCCUCUGAGUCACGUGCUCCUGCAGCCCGUCAAAGGAGGUCAAAAUCUAGGAGCCCUCAUAGCACAAAGUCAGAGUCAGCAUCUCCUCAACGACAUAAAAGAUCAAAGUCACGAACAUCCUCACAUAAUUCAAAGUCUGAAUCCCCAAUAUUAAGAAGAACUAAAAAGCAAAAAGGUAAACGGUCAAGAUCAGUUUCUCAGAGACGCACAUCAAGAUCAAGAUCCAUUUCCAGGGAGCGCCAGUCAACAGAUAGAAGUAUAUCCCCUACCAAAAGAGCACACUCUAAAUCUCCAACUAAAGAGGAAAAGUCCUCAAAGGAUAAGAGUUCAAAAGAAAUCUCAGAGACUAAACAGCAAGUUUUAGAUCCUGUGGAGGAAAAUUUAGAAAAAAAAGGGUCAAGUGGAUGGAAACCAGUGUCUACUGAAUGUACAUCUGUGCAAAAUCCAUCAGAUGAAGAGGUAAAAUCAUCAGAAUGUGAUACACAAAGUAAAAACAUUGAGCAAGAGCCCGAAAAUCCCUCUGAAUAUGAAGAAAGACCAAACCGAUCCAGAUCUUUGUCCUCAGAGCCAGUUCCUCAACAAGUUACUGUAGGGUCAGAUGAAGAUGAUCGCUCAGGGAGCUCACGAUCACCUUCACCGAGUAAAGUAAAAGAAUCAAAGUCCUCCAACAGAACAUCACCUGUUCAAAGAAAGCACUCCAGAUCGGCUUCGCCCACUCAGAAAAGGCGAUCCAAGUCGAAAUCUGUCAAUAGCAAGAGGAGGUCAAGAUCUCCUGUAAGAAAACGCAAGUCCAGGUCUCCCUCACAUAGUCGUAAAAAGAGGACAAAAUCUCGGUCUCCUGUUCGGAAAAGAAGAUCUAGAUCAUCCAAUCGAAGGGCAAAAUCACGAUCGAAAUCUCACACAAGAACAAAGCGCUCAAAAUCAAAAUCCCCCAAGCGGAAACGGUCAAAGU
ensembl:lncRNA